rnacentral:rRNA from 1 species
UAUCAAGUAAUUCAAAGGGGUUAUUAAGGAAAACUAAGGCAAAUUUAUAACAAAAGGAGGUCUAAAACCAAAAGUUUACUAACAAUAAAGUAUUAAGUAAGCGGUCCUAAGGUAAACCUUAUUAAUCAAUUACUUCCUGAAGUAAAACAUUUUAUUAGGGAAAGGAAAGGAAAUCAACCGAGACUCCGAAAGUAAUGGUGAGUGAAAUCGGAUUAGCCUAAUUAAAUAAUAAAUUGAAAAACUUAAGUAUUUUAGCAACGAAGGAAGAAAUCACUCUCUCUCCUUCUGGCCGCCUAUGGUGGAAUGCCAAAAUAUAUUAGUUAGUAAUAUUUUAAUAAAAACAAGUAGUGUAUAACAUUAUAUAGUUCUAUCAAAGUGUUACUCUAAAGAAGGUGACAAACUAUAAGACCUGUAGGUUUAUUAUUUAAUAUCAAAAAAGAGAAUUGAAUAUUUAGCCCUCGCACCCCCACUUCUCCUUCAUCUCUAGCAUUGCAAGCCUAUCUAUAUCUAUAAACACAAGAACACAAAAUAAAAAGAAAAAGGACGCAAAGGCUGGGGAAAAGCACAAAGGUCAGUGGUCGGGGGAAAAGGGGGGCCAAAUCUCAAAUCUCUAAAUAAAGUACGAUGAGAGAAAACUUGUCGGAAUAUAGGGGUACCAUCCUCUAAGGCUAAGUAUUAUAAAUUUAGCGAUAGUGAAUAAGUACUGUAAAGGAAAAGUUUGAAAAGCGAGUGGUAUACAAAAAAAGGAGUUUUUAAAAUAGUAAAAAUAUCCCUUAUAACUCUAGGUUAGCCUCCAAACCUUCAAAUAAAAAAUAAGAACAAACAAAGAAAAGGGACAGGAAAAAAGGUCAAGGAAAGGGUCCCAGUCAAAGGUCCUGAUAGCCUCAGAAAAAAGGGAAAUCUCUACGAUUAAAAAUGAAUUGGUGAAAUAGAUCUUGAAUUAGUAACUCUAUAAGCAGUCGAAAUUCUACUUUAUAAAAAGAAUCAUGAAUGACGGCGUACCUUUUGCAUAAGUUAAUAGGAGUAGCAAGGUUUAAAGCCCUAGCGAAAGCGACUGGACUAUAACUGAUAAAAUACAAGGAAAAAUAAAUUUCUUUUUGUGUUUGUAUAAGUACACAUAGUGAUGGGUCAGUUACUUCUAUUAGACCCGAAGCCAGGUGAUCUUACCAAGACCAGAUUAUAAUGGAUCGAACGGGUGAAUGUUGCAUAAUUCUCCGAUGAGUUUUGGUAAGCGGUGAAAUGCCAAUCUGACCUGGUGCUAGCUGGUUUUCUACCGAAACAUAUUUAAGUAUGACGUCUACACAAAAUUUAUGGAGGUACAGCAAGGCAAUUCCCAACAAGUUUAAGGGUUGUGUAUCCAUUCCUUCCUUUUUCUCAGUUUGAGUUAAAGCUAGGGCAGGUAACACAUCAGCCUUAUAGGCGUUUAGGUUGCGGGGACCUCGAAAAUCUUACCUUUGGAAGCGAAUCUCGGAAUUACAUAAAUUGAUGGUAGAUAUUCAGACUACUCAUGCUAAGUUGGGUAGUCAAGACGGAAACAGCCGAGAACACUGAUCAAGGUCCCAAAUGAUUGUUAAGUGAAAUUAAGGACGUAGCAAUAUCGUAUACAGCUGUGAAGUGAGCCUGGUAGUCGCUACUUUUAAUGAUCGUAUGUAACAACGCAUCAGCAGUCUAGAUAGUAGCGCCGAAAAUUUAACGGGUCUUAAACAAUCAACCGAUAUCGUGUUGGUUUAUAUUAUUAAUGAUAUAAUUAUUUAUAGACAUUUCUAAUACUAAAUCUAGGUAGUAGAACAUUCAGUCAAACUCAUUAUAAAAUAGUGUUUCAUUAUUUAUUAGGUUACUGAAGAGAGAAUGCUGACAUGAGUAACGUAAAAAGAAGUUAUAAUACUUCUCGCCGAAUACGAAAGGGUUGCAAAUAGGAAAGGUUAAUCCGUUUUGUUUGAAUGCGGCCUCUAAGGACCAAAACCAAAGUUUUGGCUGAUGAGUAUAUAAUAGAAAGUCCAUUUUUUUAGUGGACCAGGAAAUGAAUAUUAUUAGUAAUAACGUCGACUCAUCCUAUCCUCCGGGGGAAGAAGCUUGGAAGGGUUCGGCUGUUCGCCGAUUAAAAGGGUACGUGAGUUGGGUUAAAGAGUCAGUAUGGUCCCUAUCUUCUGGAGGGAUAAUUAGUAAAAAGGGGCAGACCUUCUAGUACGAAAGGAUCAAUAGGCUGUGUUUCUCUAGUGUACCAAUUGUUGGUACUAUUUUGUUUAAGACCCCUAUCUUUAUCUUUAAAAAUAAGUGGGUAAAAUCCUUUUGGACUUUAAGCUAAAAGUUCUUUAAUUUAAUACCUUUAAGCAAGGUUAGAAUAAAAGGUCACAAAAUAGGAACGCAUAGUUGGGUAGCCACAAACAUAAUAGAUAAGUGCUGAAUGUCUAUAAAGCAAGAAUCUAACCCCUAGAUACUUUAAAAAUGAUGAUUUAUUUUAAUUACAAGGGUCAGUAGUGCUUUGCAGAAGCAGCUUAUUUGAGUCCUUCCGAAGUAGGCCUUGUAUAAUUGAGAUGUAAUAUCAUUAAUUAAGAAAUAGAACAUUUCUAGAUAGGCUGCAAAUGUAACAUAUUGUAAAAUAUUUAGUUUAGCAGUACUAAUUUAUAAAGAAACUAGAAGCCA